GGGCCGCGGGGCUUGUUUCCGCCCCAGCCCGGCGCCGAGCGACCCCAGGGCCCGUCGGCGCCCAGGCUGGGAGAACUACGAGUUCUCUGCCGGAAGUGGACGGACGUGAUUGGCAGCCCGGGCCCUGGAGACCCGCCCCUUACGGCCCGAGGCAGGAAGCGGACGUGGCGACACCACUUCGCGCGGUAUUUUUGUCCCGGGACUCAAGCCUCGUGGAGCGGUCACGUCGGUCCUCGUGCGGUGGCCCCGUCCUCGGUGCGGCCCGUGGAGGGAGUGCCUUGGGCGCACGGAGGGCGUUAAAGGACAGGUGCGGCCCGGGACCCGAGGGGCUCCGUAGAGAGGCCGGGCCUCCGCUCGUCCGCCCGGCCACUGGGCCCCGCGCUGAGCCGGGACGGGAAGGGCGCCGCCCGGGGCGUUGGCGUCCCCUGCGCUUCCCUGGUCAGAGCCUCCGCGUCACCUUCGAGACUUUUCCCCAGAAGGAGAAGCAGCUCCGCUGUGCGAGUCCCGUUUCUCGGGCCCCGCGCCCUCCGGUUCUUAGGACCUGCGACCCCGCCGUGUGGCUGUGAGUCCAGGGGAAAGUGGGUCAGGGGCCUCUGCUGCUUUUCCUGGGUGACAGAACGUGUCGCCGGAGAAUUUGGCCUUGUCUUGGUGCGUUCUUUAGUUUUUAACAUUACAUGAGGAUAGAAAGGUAAGAUAGUUUCCUAGGUGUCAGGGGUGAGCAUAUUUGUGUCAUAUGAUUAUAAGCAGAUGUUGACCACAAGUCUUUCAUCUAAAGAAAAGAAAGAUACUCAGGUGUCUCUUCAUCUGAACUUCUAGGCCCCUCCAUCCCCACAGAGCUUUUAAACGGGGGCCUCCAGGAGAAAAAGAUGGAGACUUUAUGACACCAGUUCUAGAAUAAUUCAGUUUGCCGUUAACAGAAUAUUUGGACUAAGUGUGGUUUUCCCCCACAUUUUUCUUUUGUAAAAUCUUAAACCUACAGGAAAUUUGAACAUCCAGUACAGUGAGUGUUCGUUGUAGUAGAUUCACUCGUUUUUAGCAUUUUGUAUGUUUGCUCUCUCCAUGGAUAAAUAAAUUUCAUGGUCAGCAUUUGAAAGUAAGUUGAAAAUAAAUUUGCAGACGUGAUACUUGACCUUUAAAUACUUGGUAAUCCAUCUCUCUGAAAGACAUUAUCUACUAAAACUACAGUAGUAUUUUUCAACCCAAGAAGAUUAAGAAUAAUAAUAUCAUCAAAUAUUUACUCUAUGUAAAAAUUGAAAUUCUCCACGUUGUUUCAAUUUUUUUUUUUUUGUCUGUAGGAUUCAGUCAAGGUUAUAUGUGGCAAUUAUUUCUUUUAAUCUUUACCUCAGUCACUGAUUGUGACACCUACCACAGCAUGGCUUGCCAAGCAGUGCCGUGUCUGCACCUGGGAUCCGACCUGGUGAACCCCGGGCUGCUAAAGGGGAAUCUGUGAACUUAACAGCUGUGCCACCAGGCCAGCCCCUUUGUAAACUUUUUGACAUAGCUAAAUUACUUAAAUCUGUCUUGCCUUUUGUUUAGUAUCUUUACUUGAGAAAUAACUCAAAUGAGCCUUACUGUUUUUAACUCUGUUAAUGUACAUUUCUUUCUGUAAAUUCCUGCAGUUUGUUAUUCUUUUUUAUUUUAGAAUGGGAAAUUCAACUUAAAACCAAAGACUUGGCAGUUCAGCAGGAUGUUUUUGGGGAAAAAAGAUCCAAAAGGAUAAAAAGAGAAAGAAUCCACAAUGAGUGGGAACACUAUGAUUGUGAGCAAUGUGGAAAAGUCUUCAGUGAACAUUCAUGUCUUAAGACACACAGAACUCAGAAUGGAGAGAACGCUCAUGAGGAUAAUCAGUAUGGGAAAAGCGUCCUUACUCUGCACAGGAAAACCUCUACUGGAGAGAAACUUUCUAGGUUGAAUCAGUUGGGAAGAGCCAUGAGCCCAACUCCAGAUAUUGUGUACUGGAAAACUAGCAUGCAAGAGAAAGACCUUGAAUCCAGUGAUGGUGGGAAAGCCUUUGCUGAUCACUCUUACCUUCAGACCCAAAUUACAACUCACAAUGGAGAAAAACUCAAUGAAUGGAUGGAAUGUAGGAGAUCUUUUAUUCACAUCACGAGCUUUUGGUGUGCAUGUAGAAACUUGUGCUGGUAACAGUCAUUACAAAUGUAAGGAAUGUGGAAAAUCCUUUAAAGGCUUCUCAUACCUGAACUCUCAUGUUCAGAUUCACAAUGGAAUAAAACCCUUUAAGUGUAAGGAAUGUGGGAAAGGCUUUAAACUUUCUGUGCAUCUUAACGUUCACAUGCAGACUCACACUGGAGAGAAACCUUAUGAGUGUAAGGAAUGUGGAAAAGCCUUUGCUCGAUAUGCAUGCCUUAUUGACCAUAGAAGAGCUCACACUGGAGAGAAGCCUUUUCAGUGUGACAAAUGUGGGAAAGCCUUUGCGCCUUCCUCAAAUCGGAGUAGACAUUUUAGAACUCACAGUGGAGAGAAGCCUUUUAAAUGUGAUACUUAUGGGAAUGUCUGUGAUAGUUCCUCAAAUCUUAAACCUUUUAGAACCAUUGUAGACAGAAGCCCUUUUGAGUGUAAUAUAUGUGGGAAAAUACCAGUUCUUCAUGCUUUAUCACUCACAAGUGUACUCUUGUUGGAGGGAAAGCUUAGAAAUGUAAGGAAGAUGGGAAAUCCUUCCAUUUCCCACUUCCUUUUGGAAUCAUGAAAGAACUCCCCUGGAGAGAAAUGGUAUCAACGUAAGGAAUGUGGCAAAGCCCUAGCAGUCCGGAUUCACUCCAAAGAAAUGAAAGGACUGCGCUGGAGAGCUGCUCUCCAGUGUAAGAAAUGAAAAAGCCAUCAGGUUCUCCUCAUAGCCCAGCAUGUAAGGACUCAGAGUGAAGCCAUAGUAUUAAGAAACAUGGAAAGCCCUUCCCUAUUUCCUCAGUGAAAUACGUAUUUCUUAUAUGUGAGAGAUCUUACAGUGGAGAGAAAUCCAACUGAUAUUAAUAGUUGUGCAAAAAUUGUUUUUCUGCUAAUGUCCACUUGUCAUUUCACUUUGGAGAAAAGCUUUAUGAACGUAAGAAAUGUUGUAGAAUCAUAAUUGUUUUCCAUUGGACUGUUUCUCGUCCUUAAUAAACGUGGCGUGAUUCACAGUCAAGAAAAACCGAAUGUUUUUCAGGAAGUGCUACCCUGCGUGUGAUUCUUAGGCUCUUCUGAGAUGCAUAGCAUUCUGGGUGGCUCCACAGAUCUAUUUUAAGCCUUUGUGAUUAGGCUCGCAACCUUCCUGUGCCUCAUGUAUUUUUCUUUCUGCUGAUAGGCCAGUCUGGUUCCUCCACCUUGCAUGUUGCAGCCUGGUUAAAAGUGGACCUACAGAAUGCUUACAUAAUCCUGCUCUAACUACAUCGAUCCUCUUGUUGGAUUGGCAUGGUCUUGCAUUGUGAAGACAGUGACUGCUUGACUGUGUACUGUGCUCAGAGAACUCAUGUACAGUGAGUCACAUCAGCCACGGCGGUUGGUAAAACACAUCUUUGUAAAUUUUGAAAAAUUACCUUUUCCCUCUUACACCUGAUCUUUUCAGAUAAAAAGUCAGUGUCAAGCCUGGGAUGAGUGGGAGAAAGGUGAGAUUAUACCUACACUGUGUGACACCCUGAUUUCGUGACCUUUGUGGAUGAACUUAAGCCAUACCAGCUGGGGAGGACCGUUAACCUCAAGCCAUAUAGGAUGAUGGUAAGAAUGAUGUUCUCUUUCACAGCAUACCCCAUGCCACAGCCUGGGAAAAUCAUAUCAUUUGUCUGCAUCAGACAACAGCUGUUGCUGGUGAUAUGACCUGCUUCUGUGUUUUCCAUUCUAUCCAUGGAUGUGGAAAUAGAAAAACUCAUGUGAAUAUACCUGGUCUGGAUAAUCUGCUGUGCUUGAUGCCCUCACCGCCAGUUCCUGAAUGUGACCCUUGUGUGUAGACACAGGCCAGUGCCACCUCAUUUCAGCUUCAGUGAUACAAAUUCACAUAGUUCGGAUGCUCAGGCAGCCUUGGGUUAUGUCAUGUAUGGCCACCAGGUGUGCAGCUGCUUCCUGUCAUACUCUUGAGGCCUAAUCAAAACACUGUAUGAUAAUCUAAGUCAAGCUUAACAAUAAAUACAGAACAAGAAUUCGUUGCACGUUUGUGUUACAUGUUUAUAUGUGUGGAGGAGUAUGUCAUGUUGUGGUUCACUUUUGGGUAUAUAUAUAUGUGUGUAUAUAUAUAUAACUAUAUAUAUAUGUAGUUAUCUGGCCCAUGUGUUGCCUCUUUAAUUAUUGGCAACAACACUGAAGAUCAGCAGGUUAAUCUGAACAUUUUGUGUGUAGUGUAAGGUCACGAUUGCCCUUGGAUGAGAUCCUAAUCAUCUGAAAGAAGACCUAUGGGUCCUAUCAGAAUUUGUCAGUGUAACCUGAGUCUUAAGAGCUUGUGGGUAGUGCUUGAGGUCACUCCUGCGGAUUAGCCUCAUUCUGCUGCUGGCACUUGUAGUGACAGCAUCCUCAGUAAGUGCUGUACAAGAGAAAUGGAGCAGAUUUGGUCCCAGCCUUUGUUAGUCGGUGGCUGGCAAAGUGGCAUAUUCAUGUGAACAAACUCCAAAAGCCAAGAUGAUGUGAGCCAUAUUUGCUACAACACAGUGAGUCUUUUAACAUAUUCUAAGUGAAAAGAAGCUAGUGAUAAAAGAUUGUAGGACUUCAUUUAUAUGAAAUGUCUAGAAAAUACAAGUCUGUUGAGACAGGAGAUUUUUGUUCACCUGUACUUUAAGAGAGAAGGGCAAUCAGGGUUUUGACACACAAAGGCUGCUUUUGAAGUCAUGAAGUGGUGGUUCUAAAAUUAAAAUUUUCCACAAGUGUGUGCAUUUACUAAACAACAUUGAGUUAUAUAGCUAUAAAUGGAUGAACUGUAUGCUAUGUGAGUUGUAUCAAUAAAUCUGUUUCAAGAAACAAGAGAAAA